AUACUAGUUUCGGAAAAAAAAACCCAAAAUAGAAUACAUACAAAUCAAAUAAUAUGCAUUAUUAUAAAAAUUAACUUAAAAUAAACCAAAAUAUCUAGAUUUAAAAUUUUCGGAAAGCAAAUAGAUUGAAAUUUUGACUUCAUAAGUAUGAAUCAACAAUAAUACGAAGCUCUACUCGAAUGUGAGACAUAUGUUUCACUUUUUAUGUGAUGGAGGGACCCAAUUUUUUUUUUAAAUAGUGGGGCAGCGGGUAUUGGAAUGGGGGACCAAGAAGAACAUAUAAAAUAUUGAGGAAGAAGAAGCAGAACCGUCGUCUUGAAGAAGGCAGCUCGUUUUUAAAAAAGGGAUAUAACCUCGGGUAUUUG
rnacentral:lncRNA from 1 species